rnacentral:piRNA from 1 species
UGCGAAGCUCUGGACACUUGUCAGAC